GACGAACGCUGGCGGCGUGCUUAACACAUGCAAGUCGAACGGAAAGGCCCUGCUUUUGUGGGGUGCUCGAGUGGCGCACGGGUGAGUAACACGUGAGUAACCUGCCCUUGACUUUGGGAUAACUUCAGGAAACUGGGGCUAAUACCGGCUAGGAGCUCCUGCUGCAUGGUGGGGGUUGGAAAGUUUCGGCGGUUGGGGAUGGACUCGCGGCUUAUCAGCUUGUUGGUGGGGUAGUGGCUUACCAAGGCUUUGACGGGUAGCCGGCCUGAGAGGGUGACCGGCCACAUUGGGACUGAGAUACGGCCCAGACUCCUACGGGAGGCAGCAGUGGGGAAUAUUGCACAAUGGGCGGAAGCCUGAUGCAGCAACGCCGCGUGCGGGAUGACGGCCUUCGGGUUGUAAACCGCUUUCGCCUGUGACGAAGCGUGAGUGACGGUAAUGGGUAAAGAAGCACCGGCUAACUACGUG
rnacentral:rRNA from 1 species